rnacentral:rRNA from 1 species
CGAACGAGUGGAACUUGUUCUGCUAGUGGCAAACGGGCGAGUAAUACAUAUUUAACUUACUUUUACGAGGAGGAUAGCAGUUCGAAAGGACUAUUAAUACUCCAUAGGUUUAUAAACUAAAUCAAAGAGGCUCCCUCGGGGGCCUCGCGUGAAAAUAGGAAUAUGUCCUAUUAGGUAGUUGGUGGGGUAAAGGCCACCAAGCCAGUGAUGGGUAGCUGGACUGAGAGGUUGAACAGCCGCAAUGGGAUUGAGAUAUGGCCCAUAUUCCUACGGGAAGCAGCAGUGAGGAAUUUUUCACAAUGGACGAAAGUCUGAUGGAGCAAUACCACGUGAACGAUGAAGGUCUUCUGAUUGUAAAGUUCUUUUAUUUAGGAAAAAAAGCGCGCUAGGAAAUGAGCACGCCUUGAUGGUACUA